GGAAAAGCUUGUUGGUAUAUCCACACAAGAGGAAACAGUUCUGAUCAGGCAUCUGAGAGGAGCAUGAACAACCCAGCAACCGAAACGAAUGUCCGUCAAAAGCAGAUUUCAGUUGAAGAAGAGUUGCCAGAAAGGCCUGGUGAACCUGAAUGCCGGAACUAUUUAAAAACUGGGGAUUGCAAAGAAGCAACAGAAAGAUCAACAGAAGUAUGCAAGAAUUAUCAAAGGUAUGGGUUUUGUAAGUUUGGAAAAGCUUGUCGGUAUAUCCACACAAGAGGUAACAGUUCUGAUCAGGGCAUCUGAGAGGAGCAUGAACAACCCAGCAACCGAAACGAAUGUCCGUCAAAAGCAGAUUUUAGUUGAAGAAGAGUUGCCAGAAAGGCCUGGUGAACCUGAAUGCCGGAACUAUUUAAAAACUGGGGAUUGCAAAGAAGCAACAGAAAGAUCAACAGAAGUAUGCAGGUACUAUCAAAGAUAUGGGGUUUGUAAGUAUGGAAAAGAUUGUUGGUAUAUCCACACCAGAGGGAACAGUUUUGAUCA
rnacentral:lncRNA from 1 species